GGUGGUAUGGUCUAGUGGUAUGACGUCACGUUGUGGAAACACAGAACCGUGCCAGCCUGGGUAUGUGCUGAAUCACUCCAAGUGAUUAUGAACGGUUAAAUCUAACAAUAUGUUAGGUUCGAUUCCCAGUACCGCCA